AGUGAGGUGGCCGAGUGGUUGAAGGCGCACGCCUGGAACGCGUGUAUACGUUAAUAGCGUAUUGAGGGUUCGAAUCCCUUCCUCACUGCCA
rnacentral:tRNA from 1 species